GGUUGUAAGUCUGAGGCUAUCGCAGAAGUGCUCACAGUGCAGCCCUGUCAGAUUCCAAUGAAUCAGCAAAUUCUGCU
rnacentral:ribozyme from 1 species